UACGGGGGGUGCAAGCGUUAUUCGGAAUCAUUGGGCGUAAAGGGCGCGUAGGCGGUCUUUUAAGUCAGAUGUGAAAGCCCUCGGCUUAACCGGGGAAGUGCAUUUGAUACUAAAAGACUUGAGUAUGGGAGAGGGAAGCGGAAUUCCUGGUGUAGCGGUGAAAUGCGUAGAUAUCAGGAGGAACACCGGUGGCGAAGGCGGCUUCCUGGACCAAUACUGACGCUGAGGCGCGAAGGCGUGGGGAGCAAACAGG
rnacentral:rRNA from 1 species